AAGGUAGCAUAAUCACUUGUUCUUUAAAUGAGGACUCGUAUCAACGGCAUCACGAGGAUCCUACUGUCUCCCCCCUCUAAUCGGUGAAACUGAUCUCUCCGUGAAGAAGCGGAGAUGUACAUAUAAGACGAGAAGACCCCAUGGAGCUUUAAACCCAACAACACCCGCCCCCCUCCAAAUCCUAUUAUUUACCCGGUGAUUGUUUGUUUGGUUUUAGGUUGGGGUGACCGCGGAGUAUAAGAUAUCCUCCAUGAAAAAAA
rnacentral:rRNA from 1 species